AACAGCUGGAAACGCAGUUCGCUUCAGUAGAUUGACAUUUCACUCUUCAUCUGUCCUGUUCCUGCAAUGUGAAUCUGAAAACAGAUGGAUAUAUUAGCAUCCAGCGUUUCCGUGACAAAAUCCGUACCUAUUGGGUCGCAAGGGACCGGAGCCUAUCCCAGCUACCACAGGGAAAGAGGUGGGGUACAGCCUGGACAGGUCGCCAGCCUUUCACAGGUCUAACACACAGAGACGGAUAACUAUUCACAUCUAUGGGCGAUUUGCAAUCACCAGUUAACCUCACUAAUUCCACAUCAUCGGACUGUGUGGGGAAACCAGAGUACUCGGAGAGAGGCAUGCAAACACAGGGAGAACAUGCAAACUCCACACAGAAAGGCCCCAGCCAGAUGGUGGAUUCAAACCCAGGACUUUAACAGUGCACCACCAUGCUGCCUACAAGAAAUCACAUUUACAGUAACUGUCUUUUUUUAAAAACCUUAUAUUUAGCUGCCCUGUUUUUUUUUUUUUGUUUGUUUUAAAUAGAUAAAUACAAAGUCUGAAUCAUGUAGUAAAAUUAAAUACAACUAAC